GCCGGAGUGGCGGAACUGGCAGACGCGACGGAUUCAAAAUCCGUUGUCCCUGAUAAGGACGUGUGGGUUCGAUUCCCUCCUCCGGCA
rnacentral:tRNA from 1 species